rnacentral:misc_RNA from 1 species
UUGUCCAGGGCUGACGUCAGCCCUGGACAA